AUACAGCACAGGGGCCACGUCCCAAACCGCAUGUUAUAGACUUCAACAGCAAUAAAUAGUGCAUUAGCGUGGGUAGUGUAAGAGUUUUGGAUCAUUUUUAGUGUGUAACGGUUUGGUUCACAGCCUGUCUUUGUGACGCUGUGAGAAGUCGACAGAAGAGGGAAGAUCCGAGUAAGUGUGUGAGAAAGAUAAAGUGAUUUAUAACGUCGUUUCUAUGCCAAAGCCAAGCGCGAGGGGAGUGUACAGUGGCGCAUGCGCACUGCGCGGUUCACGGCACCGGGCGUCACACCGCAGCGGCUGCAGAUUUUUUUCCCCAGUCAGAUAGAAGACGAGCAGCAGGAGAAACGGAGAGAGAGAGACAGCGGAAGGGCCCAGGAGAUCGUAAGCAGAGGAUGAGUUAACUGUACGCUGCCUGAAAAGAGAAGGACGGACAUAUUGAUCCCGUAUUUCCGGGCUGCAGAUGCAGUUCUGCCUCGCGUGCCUACCAUUUGUUGCUGUUUGCGGAGAAAGACGUUCCUCGGUACAGCCUUAAUGGGAUUAUAAUAAGAGAGCUCUCUGCUUAUUUAUUUCUCAUCCCUCGAAUAUGGAUGACCGGAACUGAAUCAGAGUUGUGCAUCAGUUAGAAGUGAUGAGAGAGAAGGGUGAAGAGUGCCGUGUUGCUGGUGCCGUGUGCGCGCUCGGUUCGGAUCGGUCCGGGUUUGUUUUCCGCUCGCUGUUAUGAUGGAAAGCGCUGAUGGCUCGAGCAGCGACGCCAAACCGCAAAGCCAGCCGGUGGAGAAGAAGAGGUUAAACCGUGCACCUUCUCCGGCCAGACCUUUCCUGAAGGAUGGUCACUCCAGAGCUCUUAAAUCCACCGCGCUCACACCAAAAUCUCCUAAACUCAAUAAGCAGCAGCCUGCGGGGUCUUUCACUCCACACAGCCGUGCUGUGAGACGCACCGUGACCGGACCGAAGGACAAACCGUCGCCGGUGAAAAGCGCUGCCAAAUCCUCAACGACUAAAAAGGCCUCAAAGGUCACGCAGGCGAAACCAGUCGGGAAAGCGGCGGACACCGUUCCUCGACUUGCGAAAAGCCCAAAGGGGAAGCUGAUACCUCUCGCGCGCGCUCCUCUGGCCCACGGUUCAGACUCGCCGGUGCGCGUUCCCACGGGGCGCCUUGCUCAGACAGACAGCAGCUCGGAUCUGUCCGACUGUCCCUCUGAGCCGCUGUCCGACGAGCAACGCCUCGCUCAGGCCGGCAGCAGCGAUGCCGAGUCAGGGGCCGGAUCCGGAUCCAGUGAGCGCGGACACUUGGCUGCAGAUGAACCCGCUGAUUCCGGUGCUGUGGCGGCCUCCGGUGCUGCGCGAAUGCAUGGCCAGAGACCGGACAUCAUCGUGCCUCAAGCCUCACCUGCGCGAGAGAAACCUAAACCGGAAAAACACACCGGGAGCGGGCAGCUCAAACCGGAGGGCGGCAAAGAGCUGGCAGAAGAAGAUUUAUUACGGGAAAUUGAAGAGCUUCGCUCAGAAAACGACUACCUCAAGGAUGAAGUGGACGAGCUGCGUGCUGAGAUGGAAGAGGUCAGGGACAGCUACCUGGAAGAGGAGGUGUAUCAGCUACAGGAGCUGCGCAGGGAGCUGGACCGCUCCAACAAGAACUGCCGUAUCCUUCAAUACAGACUGCGCAAGGCAGAGCAGAAAAGCCUGCGUGUGGCCCAGACUGGCCAUGUGGAUGGAGAACUGCUCCGUAACCUAGAGCAGGACCUCAAGGUGGCCAAAGACGUGUCGGUGCGUCUACACAACGAGCUGGAGAGCGUGGAGGACAAGCGCACACGGGCCGAGGACGAGAACGAGAUGCUCAGGCAGAAGAUCAUUGAGUUGGAGAUUUCCAAGCAGGCUCUACACAACGAGCUGGAGAGGGCCAAAGAGAUGGCAAUAAGGAGACGAGGGAGUCGAGAAACAUUCAAGGACAAGAAAUCUCUUUCUCAGGAGGACAGUGCGGACCUGAGAUGUCAGCUGCAGUUCUCUAAAGAAGAAUCUGCCCUGAUGCGCAAGAAGAUGGCCAAGCUAGGCCGAGAGAAGGAUGAGCUGGAGCAAGAGCUGCAAAAGUACAAGUCAGUGUAUGGGGAUGUGGACAGCCCUUUACCCCUGACCGAGGCACCGGGUGGUGGGCCGCACAGCACACGUGAAGCCGAACUCCGGCUACGUCUCAAGCUUGUAGAGGAAGAGGCCAAUAUUCUGGGCCGAAAGAUUGUGGAGCUUGAAGUAGAGAACCGAGGCUUGCGGGCUGAGAACGAGGACCUGCGCUGCCAGUAUGAGCGUGAUUGCUUUGGUCGUGAACCAUUCUCCAGCGUGCCUACAUCUCCAUUUGGGGCAGAUGCUCCAGAGUCUGCCACUGAACUGCGACGCCACUUACAGUUUGUGGAGGAGGAGGCUGAGCUGCUACGGCGCUCCAUUUCCGAGAUCGAGGACCGCAACAAGCAGCUGACCACUGAGCUGAAUCGCUUCAAAUUUGGACCUUCAGAUGGUGAGGCCAUGGAGGUAGAAGGUGGAGGGGCUUUGGCUAUGCUGAAGCCUGGAAACAAUGGCGCAAGCAUGUCAGUGAGUGGCAUGGUGUCCCUACAGGAGGAGCUGAAAACCGCCCGGAUGCAGAUUAACGAACUGAGUGGGAAGGUGAUGAAGCUACAAUACGAGAACCGUGUUCUGAUUUCAAACAUGCAACGCUGUGACCUGGCUUCACAUCUGGGCCUUCAUUCUGCAAGUCCUCGUGAUAGCGAUGCCGACAGCGACGCUGGCCGCAGGGAUGCAGAGGAAGAUGAGACAGGGCGGCUCUUACUGCUCCACCCCAAACGAGAAGGUCCAGUGGGUGGGGAGAGCGACUCUGAGGACCUGUUUGAGAAGACAGCCACCUCAGGUUUUGGGAGUGCUGGAAAGGGGUCAGAUAUUGUUGAGCUUGGAGGGGUGGAGUUCAUAAAGCGGAGACGGGAGGAUCGCGAGAUGCUUGGUGGUAUUAAACGGGAGGCUGAACGGCUGGGAAAGACAGUAGAGAGGCUCAUCUCAGAUACAAACAGCCUGAUCUGCGAGGGAUGUCUUGUUGUGACCGGAGCCGACUCUGUGGGCGAGGGUUCUGACUUCAGGGGUGACGGAGACUCCACGGAACCCAAACCUGACUCUCAGUCUCAGGUGCUAGAUGCCAUCAAUGCUCGCAUGCGGACAUUCCGGGCUGAGCUUUAUGCCUUCAUAGAGAAAGUGGACCACCUGGGCGAAGGUCUGAGGGACCGCAGCGAUGAUCUUUCGCCAAUGCCUAAUCUAACCGAGUCGAGCAGCUUUUUGUCAACCGUCACGUCCAUGUCCCGUGACUCACCCAUUGGAACUAUGGGAAGGGACCUGUCCACAGACUUUCAGUCCGGCCGGAGGCAGGAGUUCGAGUGGUCCCUAGGCCGGCGGAAUGGCCCGGAGGAGCCUGCGCUCAGUAGAUACGGCAGGCCCCACAGUGUCAGAGCCGAGCUCCGGGACCCGAGCCUGUCUGAAGUGGGCACUCCUGCCCGGGAGGCACCGUUCUGUCUGGAGCUCGAGAGGAGGAUGAGAGCAGGACAGGAAGAGAGAGAUAACCUGCCAUCCUCCAUCACUCAGGAGGAGGAGCUGAGACAUCUGGAGGCACGUCGAGGUCUGGAGCUGCAGGGUCUGCAGUCGCACGAGUCCGCAUGGCCACAGGAAAGAGCUCUACUGCAGCAGGAAGUGCGUCUGUUCAGGCAGAAUGCAAUCAUUGUCUACAUGAAGCUGCGAUGGAUCCUCAUGCACUGGAGGCUCGGGCGCAGGACUGACGCAGCCGAGGAGGGAGCCGAGGUCAGGCUGAACAAGGACUAUGAACGGUUGGAAAGCAUCCCAGAGGCUGGAACGGUCCGGGAACGUUUGGAGGAAGACAUAGAGCGGGAGGACAAAGUGUGUCCCCAGGCAUUGUGGGGAGACGUCCCUGACCCUGGACCACUCUUACUGUCCCCAGAUAAACACCACUAUCAAAAACAGGUGGGUGACAGUAGACGGGUUCUUCAUGCCCUGCGUUCUCUGCUGGAGGAGUUGAGGGCGGAGCUACGGGAGGAGGCUCAGAGAUGCUGUCAGUUGCAGCAGACGCUAGCCAAUGAGAGAGCAGCAUGGGAGAUACAGCGUGCUGAGAUGAGGAGUCACAUUGCUCAGUUGGAGGAGUCAAGAGGAGAAGCGUUAGUAGGAGGAACGGACUCUCUGUGGCAGGAGAGAGAGAGGGAGCAGGAGAGGGAGCGUGAGGAGCAGAAGAGACUUCUGGCUGAUAGCCACAGUGUGGCUCUGGAGCUGCGCUGGAAGCUGCGGCACGGCGAGCGACGAUGGACCAGAGAGAGGAGCGAACUCCUCGAGAACUUCGAGAGAGAGCGACAGGAGCGAGACCGCAACGUACAAGACCUCCGCCGCAAGAUGGAGAAGAUGCAGCGGGAAAUACCUCUCCGUCCCCCUGAAGGAGGGACACCACGUGUCUUCUCCCCUCAGGACAGUCCCUGUAAAGCCCCUAGAUCUCCACGCUCCCCUCGUGGAGCUCCAUGUGCAGUGUCUCGUUCCCACUCAGACUCGGAGGCCACACUGGAAGAGAAAAGAGCACGGCCCAGUGAGAGCCUCUUUUUGGAUGCUCUGUCUCUGGAUCCACCGAACGAGGCCGAGGUUCCUCCGUCAUCCAGGCUGGACAGUGAGAAGAGGUUCCCCUGUCUCAAUCAAGCACUAAACGAGAUUUCAGAAAGAGCAGAUCCUGUACUGUAUCCUGAGGAAGAUAUGACCAGUGGAAGCCUCCUAAGGGCCAAAUCAGUCUGCUCUAUGAAUGACUUCCUGCGUUUGAUGGACAGCUCCCCCUUCCUGCCAGACAAGAGCAAAUCAGGUGAAUGUGGGCAGGAUGAUGUGACUCCACCCCUGUCUCCUGAUGACCUCAAAUAUAUUGAGGAGUUUAAUAGCAAGGGCUGGGAUCUCUCCAAAUCCCCACUGUCUUCCUGCCCAAUUCCAGGCCCUGUGCUGCCCCCACAGGUAGUGGAGGCAUGGGUAGAACGGGCAGAUACCCACAGACCUGUCCCAUCUUCAUCAGAAACGUUUCAGCCAGCCGCAUGGUACUUGACCACCAGUGCCACACUAACUACCAAUACCACAAGCAGCCUGGAGCAAUGUCAGCGUCUGGCUGCAAGAGGCUCCCCAGUGCCUGACCACUUUGGUGUGCGUGUCCUCCACAGCCCUACUAGGGCAGAGAGGUUGAACCAAGGACCAUCAGAUCAGGAGUACGCCUUUUCCAGGGUGAGCAAUGAAAGCGAAGGGGAGGACAUUUUUGGAGGAAGGUGGUCACAUGAACUGAGACAUUUAGAAGGUGGCGAGCAUGCAACUCUGUGCACGGCAAUGGGUUACACAUCCUCACUUGAGCUAGAACUGUCUCGGAAUCUCAGUGAUGACAUGAAGGAAGUGGCGUUUUCUGUCCGGAAUGCCAUCCGCUCCAGCACAGUGACCGGAAGCAGUCCUGCAGAACGUCAAAUGCGUGAUGUAGCAUGCCAGACCAACGGCUCAACAACACGUGGAACUCAAACCACACAAGGUGUGAAUGUGGCACUGCAGACACUCGUCAGUAGCCCUCGCCGCUGCCUCACUCCUGUUUCAUCUCCCUCACGUAGCCUCAGGAAGGCACAGUACUCACCUGCCACACAGGCCAAGUUUGAACGGUCAUGCUGCUCACCAAAAUACGGAUCACCCAAGCUCCAGCGCAAGCCCUCGUGUACCAAUUCCACACAAGGCAAAUCUGAACCCCCUGCCAAUGCAUCUAGAGCUCCAACACCCACUUCUCAGUCUUUGAAGGGCAACAGUGAAUCAGCAUGGGCGCGUUCCACCACCACCCGAGACAGCCCCGUCCACACCACCAUCAACGACGGUCUCUCCAGCCUCUUCAACAUCAUCGAUCAUACCCCAAUAACCUAUGACCAAGCUCAGAAGUUCAAUAAGUCACCCAGCCGCUCCAGGCCCACUGAAAGCGGGUCUGCAGGUGUUUCAGACCCUAAAGCAGGCAAUCUCGGAGCACCACAGGACCCAGCCAGGCCGUCCAGGGGUCGUUCACCCAGCCCUAUCCAGCUCAUAGUGGAAUUACAGGGUGAGAAGAACCCAGAAACGAUUAGCAUCAGGCAGGACUUGUCAGCUCCACCUGGUUACACGAUAGCAGAGAACGCAGCACGGAUUCUGAAUAAGAAACUGUUGGAGCAGGGCUUCAGGGAGGAGAAGAAACAAGGUACAGCCACGGCAGCACAGAGCAAAACAGGAGAAGUGGACAAACCUGGAUGUAUUGAGGACCUCCCCCGAUCACCAGUAGCCCCGCCCCUGGACUCCUGUUUCCUGCGCCCGGCACGUCCUGCCAAUCGCCGCCCUCCUUCUCGCUGGGCUGCACGCUCUCCUUCUUCUUCACCCAACUACAGAGACCGCACCGAGAGGUUCCACUUCCCCUCGCCAGUCAGACCUGCUCAAACGAUCCCAGAGACAGAGGAGUCCAGUCAGGAACUACCUCAGCUCCCAGCCUGAGGACAUCCUGCACCAGCCAAGCUUGCUCACUGUCCUCUUCUCUUCUCUUCUCUUCUCUUCUCUUCUCUUCUCUUCUCUUCUCUUCUCUUCUCUUCUCUUCUCUUCUCUUCUCUUCUCUUCUCUUCUCUUCUCUUCUCUUCAUCCUUCCAUUCACACCUCUCCUACAGUUACCUCUAGACUCGUAGACAUGGAUUGCUUUUUUCUCAUUCUUUUCUGUUUUUGCUUCACAUCCCCUCCAUUAUCUUUCCCUUCUUUCUUCUCACCUUUCUUGUCUCCUUCUCUUACAUUCUUCUCCUCUUCUUCAUCUUUCUCUGUUAAUCUCAUUUUGUCCAUCUGUAUUUGUUUUUUCCUCUCCUUGCUCCUUUUUUUGUAGUCUCUUCUUUACUAUUCAUUAUCCUCCCAUCUUUCUUUUUCCCCUCACCUUCUUUGUCUUCUUUCCUGUCCAUCCUAUCUUCAUCUUCCUUUACACAUCCUAUGCAUCCUCGUCAUCUCCUCUCAUCCUCUACCUCUCAUCCUCUACCUCAUUUUCAUCCUCCUCAUUCACUCCCAACCCCUCUCCAUCCUCUCCCUUUCCUCUUACAAACCUCUCACGUUCCUCUCUCUCUUCCCCCUUCUUAUCUUCCUCCUCUCCUCCUCCGUGUCUUAUCCUUUAAUCCAGCCUGACCACACAAGCACCAACAGAGUUGUUGGAACAUUCUAGCCCUUCUCACACCCUUCACAUCCUCAACACAGGGGAUGAGAGAAGGACGCAGUUCCUCGAGCACCAGCCGACAAGCAACAACCUUCAAGUACUUUCUGUGAGAAUUCAAGGACCUCGAAUGUACUGAAGCAAAACAACACAAACUACUCCAUCAGAGAAAUUUCCUGACUGGUUAUGAGAUUCUGAAUGAGAGAGAGAGAAAUGAAGAGACAUCAGUAUAAGACUCUUGAUGUCCGAUUUGGUAGCUGGACCAAACCAGACAGUUAUGGAUGAACACAGGACCGACUCAAUGAGUGUUUCAGCAGCUCCUGUGGUAGGUUGAGUUUGGUGAAGGAAGUACAACCUCUGCUUGGUCUUUUUAGUAAUGGAGUCUGUGUGUGUGUGUGUGUGUGUGUGUGUGUCCCACUUCAGGUCUCAAGGAACCUGAAUGACUCCAUUGUUGUUACAGUACUGUUCUUCAUGACCUGCCUGAUCCACCCAGACGCUCUACCCCUGGUUGGAGUCUCGUCGCUUGGUGGUGCUCACUGCUGCUGUACGUAGAUCUGCCUGGACAGCCUGUGACAAAGGGGACUGCCAUGGACAGAACCACUUGGAGACUAUCACACCGUCACAGAACUGCCAUUGCGUCAGCUUACGACAGCAAGGAAUUAGUGUCUAUAAUGAACUCAGAAACGACACUGACCUAAUAGUUCCUCAUAAGCCUUGUAGAAAGGACAUUAACAACUCGACUUUCGACUGUCACCCAAAUGAGGAUGAGGUUCCCUUCUGAGUCUGGUUCCUCUCGAGCUUUCUUCCUCAUAUCAUCUUAGGGAGUUUUUCCUUGACACCAUCGCCUCAGGCUCGCUCAUUAAGGAUAAAAUAGGGAUAAAAUAGUAAUGUAACUUUAACCUGUCUCUGUUUCUAUACUUCUGUAAAGCUGCUUUGAGACAAUGUCCAUUGUUAACACAAAUAACCUGAAUUGAAUUGAAAAUUGAAAAUUUUAGCUCAGAUAAUUACACAGUGAUUUUUAACUUUUUAACUUUCACUGUUUCACUUUAUAUACUGUUUGUCUGAGUCUACCAACUUGCACUAUAGUUUGAAGUACCAUGACCGAAACACAUUGAUCCUACGUCUUCCUGAGAGAGUUUUAGGCUCAUGGCAUCCUUAAUCUGUGACCUAGUGAACCAGUAUUGAUGUAUUCAUUGACAGAGACUUUUGUACAUCACCCUGGAUAAGUGAGUCUGCCAAAUGCAGUAAAUGUAAAUGAAUUAGAAUAUCCCUGGAGUCAUCAGUGUCCCAAUGUAAAGUGAGCCAGAAUCAGUGCCUCAACUUACAUACACGAUAUACUGAUUCACAACCUAGGGACCCAAAGAGCUGAUUGAGACACACCCCAGGUCUUCUGUGGAACUAGUAGCCAGACUUUCUGGAAAUGCCUUACCAAAUACACUCCAGUGAUAGUUUGGAUACAGACUUAUUGCAAAUACUGCAGUGCAUUGUGGGAUUUCAUGACUGCACUGCACUGGAUAUAUUUCUACACUGUGGUUGUAGAAAUGCCAGAAAUACAACAAUUGUGCAAUAUGUAAUGCACAGGGGUGUGGUUUUCUAUCCAUGCUAUUUCCCACAGUUCUGUUCAGUUCUCUGCACAACUAUAACUAAUUUACAGGUUUUUGCAAUCUAAUCUAAACGUCUGUGUACUGUAUAUUUUCAGAUAUUGUGUCAUGGCAGAAGGCUUGGGAUCAGAGAUCUGUGUAAUUAGCAGUAAUCUAAUCCUGAUGUAGAGAUUUGUGCUGCAUGUGUUCUCCUGGAC